CCUGCUAGAGGAUACCACAGAGUUUCUAAGCUUAGAAAAUCUCUUCUCUGCACGUGGUACCUCAGGGAUAACCAGAGAUGCUUCUCCAUAACUGCAGUCCUACUCUCUCAGCCUACUGCAAUGCUGCGCUCAUGCACACACACACACACACACACCAAGCCCUGCUAGCCAGUGGCUACCAGCUAGGCAGCAGGCUGCAGGGGGUUAAGGCUGUAGACUUCCAGGCUUGUACUUUCUCCUCUGCAGUGAGUCCUGCAGCUGGCUCCCACGGAGCAUUCAGCUCUUGCAGAAGCUGUAUUUCCUCCCAGCAAUCUUUGCUUCAAACUUGCCUUUCACGGGGUAAUAUAGCUCAAGAGUCCAAACUUACCCGUCACAGCAUUGCCCAGACUCUGUCCCUUUUCCUGCUGGAUCUGUUGCCCCUGCGGGGUCCUGGAGUACCUUGGCCUUCUUAACCUUGCUGCUGCUGCCCUUGGGGAGCUGGACGCAUCCUCAUUGACUGGGCUGCGUGGCUGCACAUUUCCCUAGCAACCUCAUUUUCCCUUCAACUCAAACUUCUCCGAACAACACAUCUCAGCCUCUGGAAUUCUCUGACCCUUCGGUAUGGUACCUCCAGCCUACUAUGAGAGCGCCACAGAGGGCAGAUUGGGGAGACAAGGUCUGGGAACUCACCUGCAGAGCAGCAAGGCUCCGACAGGGAGGGGCUGCCUGCAAACU
rnacentral:lncRNA from 1 species